AUUUAUAUAAUAUAAUUAUUAUUUUUAACUUCCAAUUAAAAAAUCUAAUUUAAACAUUAGUAUAAAUA
rnacentral:tRNA from 1 species